AGAGUUUGAUUAUGGCUCAGGAUGAACGCUGGCGGCGUGCUUAACACAUGCAAGUCGAACGGAGUUUUUAAACGGAGGUUUCGGAUGGAAGUUUAGAAACUUAGUGGCGGACGGGUGAGUAACGCGUGGGUAACCUGCCUCAUACAGGGGGAUAACAGUUAGAAAUGACUGCUAACACCGCAUAAUAUAGCGAAACCGCAUGAUUUUGCUAUCAAAUAUUUAUAGGUAUGAGAUGGGCCCGCGUCUGAUUAGCUAGUUGGUGGGGUAAAAGCCUACCAAGGCGACGAUCAGUAGCCGGCUUGAGAGAGUGACCGGCCACAUUGGGACUGAGACACGGCCCAAACUCCUACGGGAGGCAGCAGUGGGGAAUAUUGGACAAUGGGGGAAACCCUGAUCCAGCCGACGCCGCGUGAGUGAAGAAGUAUUUCGGUAUGUAAAGCCCUAUCAGCAGGGAAGAUAAUGACAGUACCUGACUAAGAAGCCCCGGCUAACUACGUGCCAGCAGCGGC
rnacentral:rRNA from 1 species